rnacentral:lncRNA from 1 species
AGUGCGCGUCUGCGAGACCGACUUGGACGGAGCCGAGCUGAGGCUCGGCUUCCUGCUGAUGGUCAGGGUUUUGGCAACUCCCCGGUGUGAGAGGGGUAGGGAGUGCUCCCGGCGGCGACGGGGCCGAGUUCACCAGCCGCCGGGGCAGUAGUCGAAGGCCCGGCGCGGCAUGUCCUGGGUGCCGCGGUGCGGGCAGUGAACGCGCGCCGGGCGGGAUGGGCCGGCGCCGGGCGCCAGAGCUGUACCGGGCUCCGUUCCCGUUGUACGCGCUUCAGGUCGACCCCAGCACUGGGCUGCUCAUCGCUGCGGGCGGAGGAGGCGCCGCCAAGACAGGCAUAAAGAAUGGCGUGGUUCCAAGGAGCAGGGGCCUCGACAAAGGAAGGGAGCAGCCCCAGCAGAGAAGAAAUGUGGAGCGGAAACCCAGCACGAGGGGCUAGAACUCAGGGUAGAGAAUUUGCAGGCGGUGCAGACAGACUUUAGCUCCGAUCCACUGCAGAAAGUUGUGUGCUUCAACCACGAUAAUACCCUGCUUGCCACUGGAGGAACAGAUGGCUACGUCCGUGU